rnacentral:rRNA from 1 species
AUGUCCCCUAUACUGUUCAACAUAGUGGCAGAUAUGUUGGCAGUACUUAUCGAUAGGGCCAAGGAGAGUGGCCAAGUAGGGGGACUAGUUCCUCAUCUUGUUGAUGGAGGGCUCUCCAUACUACAGUACGCUGACCACACUAUAAUAUUCAUGGAACAUGAUAUCGCAAAGGCUAGAAAUAUGAAGUUAGUACUUUGUCUUUUUGAACAAUUGUCAGGGUUAAAAAUAAAAUUUAAUAAGAGCGAAUUGUUCUGCUUUGGAAGAGCCAAAGAGGAACAAGAUGCAUAUAGACAAUUGUUCGGUUGUGAAAUAGGAUCCUUGCCUUUCAGCUACCUCGGAAUCCCAAUUCACCAUCGCAAACUGACAAAUAAAGAAUGA